UUCUUUGUUACUUGAGUUUUUAUUGUUCAUUAACAAAUAAUGAUAUAAAUAAUCUUUUACACUAUCGUUGGUAAUUAAAAUUGAUUUGCAACAACCCGUCUAUAUUAAGCUUGAUAUGGAACCUAAAAAAUAAAUUAAUUUUAUUAUAAUCGGUUAGAUUGCACCAAGUAAAUUAGAAUUUUUUUAAUGUCAAUGGUCGCUAUACCUUUUUUCUGAACAUUGUGUAGGCCGUGGAGAUUAUUAGACAUAACUAGUAAUUUACUUGAUUAAUGUGGCGAUGCAGGAUCCAGUAAAGCUGAUCAGUUUUAUAUGGAAGUAGCUAGCUGGCGUAUUAUGAGGAGGAGAAUAAGAUGGCGUGGAGUUUGGUCCUGCUUAUGGACUUUUUUAUUUAUUUUAUGUCCUUUUCUAUUUGGGUAUUUAGAACUCAUAGUCAGAGUCAUGUAAUGAAACGUUGACGAUUGGUUGUAUUACAACUCAAUCUUCGUACUAAUAUAUAAUUCUACUAUCUCUUAUUUAAUUCA